rnacentral:rRNA from 1 species
GACAGAGGGUGCAAACGUUGUUCGGAAUUACUGGGCGUAAAGCGUGCGCAGGCGGUUAUGCAAGACAGAUGUGAAAUCCCCGGGCUUAACCUGGGAACCGCAUUUGUGACUGCAUAGCUGGAGUACGGCAGAGGGGGAUGGAAUUCCGCGUGUAGCAGUGAAAUGCGUAGAUAUGCGGAGGAACACCGAUGGCGAAGGCAGUCCCCUGGGCCUGUACUGACGCUCAUGCACGAAAGCGUGGGGAGCAAACAGG